rnacentral:rRNA from 1 species
GAUGAACGCUAGCGGCAGGCCUAAUACAUGCAAGUCGAACGAGAUUAAGAGGCUUGCUUCUUAUGAAAGUGGCGCACGGGUGCGUAACGCGUAUGCAACCUACCUUAAUCAGGGGGAUAGCCCGAAGAAAUUCGGAUUAAGACCGCAUAAAAACACAGGAUAGCAUUAUCCAAUGUUCAAAUAUUUAUAGGAUUAAGAUGGGCAUGCGUGUCAUUAGCUAGUUGGCGGGGUAACGGCCCACCAAGGCGACGAUGACUAGGGGAUCUGAGAGGAUGACCCCCCACACUGGUACUGAGACACGGACCAGACUCCUACGGGAGGCAGCAGUAAGGAAUAGUGGUCAAUGGAGGGAACUCUGUACCAGCCAUGCCGCGUGCAGGAAGACAGCCCUCUGGGUCGUAAACUGCUUUUAGUCGAGAAGAAACCUUUCUACGUGUAGGAAGCUGAAUGUACCGAAGGAAUAAGGAUCGGCUAACUCCGUG